rnacentral:rRNA from 1 species
ACAGAGGGUGCUAGCGUUGUUCGGAAUUAUUGGGCGUAAAGGGCGCGUAGGCGGCCUUGUAUGUCGGGUGUGAAAUCCCACCUCUUAAAGGUGGAAUUGCAUUCGAAACUACUUGGCUGGAGUGCCGGAGAGGAUGGUGGAAUUCCUGGUGUAGAGGUGAAAUUCGUAGAUAUCAGGAGGAACACCGGUGGCGAAGGCGGCCAUCUGGACGGUAACUGACGCUGAGGCGCGAAAGCGUGGGGAGCAAACAGGA